GUGGAGAGAAAACACGUGACCUGGAGAACACGUGGAGUGGCUCCCGAGACAAUGGCUGAUCUGGCUACUUCUCUCCAUCGCAGCGCUUUAUGGAUGGGACAGUAAGGUAAGAACCUUACCCAAACCACUUCAGCCCACCUGCACCAGUCCCUCCCUCCCUGCCCCCCACCCAUGCUGUCCCCCCUGCAGCCCUGCGGCCGAGCAUAGCAGGCUGCAGGCCAGGUAAAUUGCUUCAGCCCAGGGGGAAGGUGUAGUUUGAGGCCAGGGCAGGGUUCUCUAGGCAAGUGUGGGCAGCGAGCGUAGAUUUCUCGGGGGAAUGCAUUCAACCGCCUCAGGGGUGAGAUGUAAGUAAAACAGAAACUAUGGAGUGGUGAAGGCUUAGAUUGGGAGCAAGGAAGCUGGAGAGCAGCUGGGCCAUGGGCGCCACAUUGUCUAAGCUAGGGUCUAGGCCGGGAAAGCAGACAAGCCAGUGAGGGAACCAGAUAGGGCCUAGGCGAACUGCAACAGCUGGGGAGUCAGGAAUGCAGGCAAGGGAGCGGCUAGGCUGGGGCACCAUGUGGGAAGGCAGGCAAACUGGCUGGUCCACAGAGACUGUGUAGUCAACGCAAUAGAUGGGGCUGGCUGCACACUGAGGCAAUCUGACCAGGGUAGGCUGUUGCCGGCAGCCAGGCGGGUGCAGGUCGACCACCCUUCCCAGCCUUGCUUCCCUGAGGGGGCACCUGGCUGUACUUACCUGUUCUGCUGCUGGAGCAGUCAGGAACAGCCCAAGACAGGCGUUCAGGAGCACGCCAAGAUGAACAGGAGUCCGCCGUGUUGUAAGCUGCAGCAAAGGUAGGCAAGCAGGCUGGGCUGCGUGGCCAUGUGGUCGAGGCAAGGGAGCCAAAAAGCAGCUGCAGCUAUGCCACGGUAUGACUCUAAGGCACCAGCCAAGGCAUGCGAGGCCAACAAGUAGUGGCUGGGCGGGACGGAGUGGGGCCAGCCAGCAAUUUAACAACUGGGUUGGCCGAAGUGGUGUGAACUGGUUGAAUCCCAUUACUGUAUAUAUCUAUAAUGAAACAAAUAUCAGAAAUAAAUUAUUGAGGCUCAGAAAGCAAGCAAGCAGACAAAUACAAUGAAUACACCGUUUCAUUGUCAGGAAGUAGAGAUUUUCACUUUCUUUCAAAUAUGUUACUCUAUCUUUGUUAGAAAAUGAGAUUCAAAAGAACAGAGGCUUUUGUAUUCAUAUGACUCUGCAUUCCAGAUAUGCAGUUCCCUUUUAAUAAAAAUAUUUGACCGGUCAUUGUUAUGCUGUUGCUGUUUAGCAGCUUGCUUCCAAUAUUGCAUUACAAAAAUUACAUAUUUCGUAUAACCAGGUCUGUCUCUUACUUAAUCAUCCUAAACUAUAUACAAAUCUUUAAAAUAGACAGGUCCAUAAAUCAAAUGCAUUUUUCAUUCGGAUCUUAUUCUAAGCUAGGCAGAUUCUUAUUUAAAUUGCCACAUGAAUAAAUUUAAUAAACAUUAUUCACUUACAUCAUCUCAACUUUAAAUCUUGUUUUGACUGAGGUCAUAAGUGAAAUCAAUAUUGAGGGCAAAACUAGCAGCUGUAACAACUGUAAUAGCUCAUCAAAUUAUAUUAAAGGGCUCAAAUAACAUUAAAAAUGAGGAAGAAUUGAAUUACUUUAUUCAAGCAUGUUAUGAUGAAUCAAACAAAUAAAGGCUUUAAGCAGAAAACCUGGAUAUGCACAUACUAAAUUUAUCACGUUACACUUUAAUUAUGGAUUCAAGACAUCAGCUAGCUACACAAUGAAUAAUAUGUUUACAGUGAACAUUCAAAAUUUGGCAAAUGUUGACAUGUACAGUGUAAAUGCAGACAGUCCAGAACAGAUUUUUGUAAAUGUCUGACAAUAGAAAGUUAUUUUUCUAAUUUUCAAAAUAUGAAUGUUGUUAUACAAUUUGCACCUAGUAUACUGAAGUGACAAUAUAUUCUGCAAGAAUAUUCCCAUACACAAACAAUUCAGCUAUAGGCAUAACCUGUUUUAUCUGUAGAUUUAUAAUAAUUAUUUUCCUUUAACUACAGUAUCUCAUUUUGUACCUGAGACUGUGGAGGCAGCCAAUUAAGGACAAUACUGUUCAAUCACGUGUUGACAUCAGAAUUCAGUGUAAGAAUGCAGAUUUAGCUAUGAAAUAACCCCAAAGCAUUGCUUUCAUUUGAAUAGUAAUAUUAAAUGGACAGGAGCCACACCAAGAAUAGUGUACUUGCUCACACAUUAGGUUGAAUACCUAUAAAAAAAAAAGAUGUGUUUUUAUAGAGAUGAUAAAACAAAUGGUGAAAAAAUAUUUCAGUUACGCUCUUAUUGAAAAUUAUAUUCAGGGUUUCAUAAAUAAAAUGUACAAUUUUAGAAUCUUGAUAAUAUCAUAGAUGUUUGCUAUUACCUUAAACAAAAAAAGUGCAUAUUUACACUGUAAAAAUUGAAAAAAAAUUAUAUACUUUUGUAGCUUUUUGUCUUUAAUAUUGUAAUUAAAAGAUUAGUUUUGUUUGAAUAUGCAGACAAAUGGGUGAAUAUAUCAUUUCGUACUAUGACCAACCCUGCAAAAAUAGAAAUCUCUCUCCAUGGUAUUUAGAGACCACAGAAGUAUUCAAAAUCAGAAAGCUAGUGGAUUGUGGAAGGAAAUGGAUUUCAGACUUAAUUUUUAGCCACAGAUAAAGUGAGGUGAGAGAGGUGGCACAAGUCUCUAAACUUUGAUUUUAAACAAAUAGGUUAAUAGAAGAAGUUUAAAAUAGAAUGGCUAUUUAUGCAUUGCUGAAAAUAACAUUUUAAUUUAAUUAAUUUAAAUUUAAUUCAGUACCAAGUUCAAAAUCAGUGCAAAUCAAAGUGACAGUAAAAUUAUAUAGCUUUGCUGAUGUUUCAUAGAACCAUAAGAUUGAAAGGGACCUUGGAGGUGUUCUACUCCAAACCCACCUUCAAGGCAGGAAUCCUUAUACCAUCUCAGACAAAUGGUUGUAUAAUCUUUUCUUAAAACCUCUGGGGACAGAUAACCACAACUCUGGGAGGCAAGCUGUCCUACUGCUUAAUAGUUCUCACUGUAAGGAAAUUCCUCCUUAUUUCCAGUUGGAUCUCAUUCUGCCAAGCUUCUGCCAAUUGCUUCUUGUCUUAUUAGGUGCUAUGGACCAGAAGUGGGAUUCAGCAGGUUCUGACCAGUUCUGAAGAACCGGUAGCAGAAAUUUUUAGGAGUUCGGAGAACCCGUAAAUACAACCUCUGACUGGCCCCUCCCCCAUCUAUUCUCUGCCUCCCGAGUCCCAACUGAUUGGGAGGGAAUGGGGAUUUUGCAGUAUCCUUCCCCUGGAGUGGGGUGGGAAUGGAGAUUUUACAGUAUUCUUUCCCUGCCACACCCACCAAGCCACACCCACAAAACCGGUAGUAAAAAUUUUUGAAACCCACCACUGCUAUGGAGAAUAAGUCAAUGUCUUCCUCCCCAUGAAAGGUCUUCAAGUAUUGGAAUAUUGCUAUCCCAUCUCCUCAGAGUUCUCUUUUUAAGCUAAAAGUAUCUAUGGUAUUUAAUAUCUGAAUUCUUUCAGUAGUGCCCAUCUCUUCAGUCACCCAGUUUCAAGGUUAAUAUGCAUAAAUGACUGUGAGCGCUCCGUGUUUCUUCAGGAAAGGAUGCAACUGGUAGUUGUUUAGUCAAAAUUACCAACAGGCACUUUCAUUUGCAGAUGCUCAGCCAUGAGUAGGAGUCAAGUCAGAGACUGUCUGGACAAUUAUACAGUAUACAUAGUAUUAUUGAUUGAAUUUGUAUAACAUGCCACGCUAAAAUGUGGCUUGUACCUUGGGAUUUGACAUGAAUCCAGCCAUUGUAGCUUAUAAUGGCUUAUCUCCCAACACAUUAUAUGGCCCUAACCAUUUGUGCCAAAUCCAACAAAUCAUGAUUAAGCACAGCAUGGUUUAGCACAGUACGUACAUUCAAGUACUAAAUGCUGAUGCAUGUGAAGCUCUUUUUUUCCUUGAGCCUUCCACUGAGAUAUGUUAACAAUAGCAGAAUUAGUGUCCUCUAAUCUAAAAAUUUCCAGUGAGGUAGAUCUAAUGAUGGAAAUGAAUGGAAAGCAAAGCAUAAGGAAUCAGGUUUACACCUCCUUAUUUUGCAAGACUAUAAUGGCAAUUUUCUCUCAUGAGAUUUACUCUUUGUGGUCUUCAUCUUAUAAAUUUCCUAUUCAUACAGGUAAUGUGAAACUUGAAAGGAAUUUUGGGGAAUGAGGAAGUUUUCUCAAAUUCAUUCUUCUAGCCUCAAUACAACUUGAGAAGUUAUUCAUUCCACCACCCCACCUUUUUAGAUAGGAUUGGAGUUAGGCUUUUAAAAAAGCUUAAGAAUCGGAAGUAUCCUAGCAUAAUUUCUUUACAAUUUGUUUAUAGCGGCUUUUUAUUUAUUCAUUUAAUUCAUUAAUUAUUUAUUAAAUUUAUGUAUCUGUCCAUCUCACACUUGGGAUGCACACAUAAUUAAAAACAAAGCCAAACGACCAACAAUUAAACAAUUAAAAUAAUACAACACAAGUUAAAACAUUUAAAAAAAACAUAGUUAACAGAGACAGAAGAAUGUACGAUAUUCUAAACUUACACACAGCUUAACAGGCUCCAGAGCUCCAUGGGAUCACCAGGCCCAAUGGCAGAAUCAAGUUUUAAAGGCCAAUAGAAUUGAGGCCAAUCUUACUUCAGGGUUGAGGGGGGAUGAUACCAGAUGCUGCAAUGGUUUUAAAUGUGAAAAUGGAUCAUAACUCACUUUUUUCAGUGCCAUUCCAGAGGGUAAACACUACAACAGAAAAACUUUUAUUAUUCUUUAUAUAAAAUAUUUUUUAUAGUAUUUUAUUGUUUUAUCUUGGAAAAUCACCUUAAUUUUAUUCGGAACAACAAAACAAACUCAGUGAUUUGCACUGCAGAUUUGUGAAAUAUCAAGUGACUAAAAUUAAAUGUAUAAGGCAUGUUUGACUGCAGGAAAAUAUUUUUAGGUAAUCUAGCUAAUCCUAGUUGAUAUUGUCUCUUUUGAAUGGGGCAUUGAAUGAUUAUGAUUACAGGAAACUUAUCUGGAAAUUGUUGAGAAAAAAACCCCAAAUUUGAAUAUUUCCUAUCAUUUGUAAUUGAGCUUUUUCUUUUUCCUCCUCCUCCCUUUAAUUGUAGGGCUGUCUUUUUCCUGAAAUAUUGAUUAAUACCUGGGUUCCUAAUCUUAUGGCUAUAGCCACCAAUAUAUCCAUAGCUACUUUCUUAAAGGUGUUUGAGCUAAAUUGCCAUAGGCUAACUGAUUUUUAGAUUUUUAAAAUUAAAAGCCAAACAUAAAUGAAGGACUGUUCCCACUUGCAUUUUAUUGCAGCACUAUAUCACUCUGACAACCCUAAUUGUCCAACUUGAUGAUGCAACAUUGUCUUCAUUGUGUCCACCUGGCUGUCACAGAGUCUUGUGGAGGCUCUGAUAGCUGCCUGGAAGAGGAGGAUGGCUGAAGCUUUGGACAGGAUUGUGCCUGGUGCCUUCUCUUGGGCCAUUGGUCCUAUUACUUCCCAUGGUUUUUGGAGCAUUUGAGGGAGCUGGAAAGCAUCAAGAGAUGCCUAGAGCACUGCUGGAGAACAAGGAGGAACAAAUUUGACCAAACAGGAGCUAAAACUUAAGGCCUACCUUCCGGAGGUGAAGUGAGUGAUGCUGUAGUCAUUCUUUUGUGGCUUCUGGAAAAUGUGGGGCCCUGGAUGGGGAACAACCGACUUCAUCUGCACCCUGUAAGAUGGAGUGAUGGGGGCAGGUCCCUCUGCAUCCGGGAGCUUAUCAAUUUUGGACUUGGAUCUGCACUACCCCAGAUGGAGCCAGUGUGUAAUCUGAAGUCCUCCUGGAGUCAUGGUAGCUGUACCCUUUGCUCAAUUUUGUAUUGUGUGUCAUAAUGCCAUUGAAUAGGCUAUCGGUCAUUUAUGUCCAGGUUACUCCCAUUUUGACUAUUGCAAUGUGCUCUACAUGGGGAUACUCUUGAAAAAGCUUCUGGAAGCUUCAGUUGGUACAGAAUGCACCCGCAUCAGCAAUCUUGGACACUCAAAGAAUGGUGCAUGCAACACCUUUGCUGCAUGAGCUGCACUGGGAUCCAGUAUGCUUCUGGGUCCAGUUAAAGGUGUUGGUUAUGACCUUUAAAGCCCUACAUAGGGCCAGGUUACCUACACAGAUGUCUUUGUCCCAUUACAUCAGUCCUCCCACCUGGUCAGGCAGGCAAGAUACAUUAUGGAUCCUGUGAGCCAAAGAAUUCUGACUAGCAGAGACUAACUUUCUCUGCUGUAGCUCCUGUCCUCUGGAACAUUCUCCGUCCCCACCCUCCAAAAAAUGAGGUCCUGUUUUUCUAGUCUUUCGGAAAGGUGUUAAUGAAUUAAUUAAGUUUUAAUAUUUAAUUUUAAUAAUCCUUCUCUCUUUUUAAAUUUUAUAUACUAUUUAAAUGUUUUAUUUGUGCACUACCCAGAAUCCUUCUCUGAGAGAUGGGUGGUUUCCAAAUUUGACAAAUAAAUAAAUAAGAUCCCGGGGAUAGAAAGAGGAAGGAAAGAGAAGCGUUUUCAAUUUGUCCUGUAGUAAAUGUGUAUUUUAUUAAAAUUCAUGCUCACCAAGGCAGCUAUUUUUCAAAUCAGUCCACUGAUCCAAAAGUUUUGUGCAACUUUAGAGUAACAUACUAGCUCAUUUGAAGUAACAGUCUUCUUAGGAACCUGCAACCUGAAUGCCUGUAUUAUUCAACCAAAACAUAAUGCAUGCACAGCUAUAGCAAAUACUUUGAUGUACUGAGUAUUCGACUGUUGGCUCUUCCUCCUAGUGGUAGUAAUCAUAGGUAAAGUAUUAAAUAUUUUACUGCUGUUUCUUUCCCCACAAUAUUCUACUAACUUACUAGAAUUAAUGGGAACUUAAGUCCUAAACUUCCAGAAAACUCCAGAUAUAUCUGCUUCAUAUAUAUCUCCAAAUAUAUCUUACUUAAGAUAAAAUUCAAGGAUGAAGUCAAAACCCUUUCUGAUUUAGCUGGAGUUAUUUGGACUUUCUAGGGACCUCUCUGCAUGCAGCAUGAAAGCAAGAAUUAUCCCAUUGUCUCCUUUUCAGAGACUGACUAUCAGAAAUUUUGAAACCUAGAUGUUCCACAGAAGACUUUGGGGUAGUCCAAACUUCCAUGAUUUUAACCAGUCUCUAUUUAGUCUACCUAAGUAGCAUCAAUUAUCCAUCAAAAGCUAUGAGUUUUGUAAGGCCACUUCCAUUAUUUUGCUCCUUAAUAAUAUUCAUAUUGACUACAGCAGGUGGCAGCAUCUGACUGAUCUUGACCAGUCUGAAAAAUAAGACCGGUUGGACCUAUUUGGUACUUAGUUGGGAUCCAUCUAGCAUUUCCAGGGCUCCUCAUUAGAUAUCCAAACAUUUUAAUAGUCAUUUUUAUAUAUAAUUUUUGGUAGUAGCUAAAUUCCAUCCUAAAUUGACUUUGGGCAGUUACAUCAGUAAUCUUCUACAGGCUUUAGAAAGAGAACCUGGUAUCUUCCAGACACUAUAACUCAUUUUUCUCUUUCUCGACUGCACACUCUUCGAACUUUUCAUCUGGUGGCCAGCAUAAGGAGAAAAUCUGAUGAAUAUAUUAAAAUGUAAUCACUAAUCCUUGUAACAGCAAAAAAGUAUACUACCAUACAUUUCAGCAUUGUGUUCAUUUUAUGCGAGACGAGACAAUACAAUGCAGUCAUGGUGGCUAUGAGAAGAAAGACUGCACAUUCACUGAUAUAAAUCAGCCUGUUUUGAAGAUUUUGUUUUUACUCGUGAUUUGUAUUAAAGGCACCUUUCUGAAA